rnacentral:rRNA from 1 species
GAUCCUGGCUCAGAUUGAACGCUGGCGGCAUGCCUUACACAUGCAAGUCGAACGGCAGCACGGGAGCAAUCCUGGUGGCGAGUGGCGAACGGGUGAGUAAUGUAUCGGAACGUGCCUUGUCGUGGGGGAUAACGUAGCGAAAGCUACGCUAAUACCGCAUACCAUCUAAGGAUGAAAGGCGGGGGAUCGCAAGACCUCGCGCGACAAGAGUGGCCGAUAUCAGAUUAGGUUGUUGGUGGGGUAAAGGCCUACCAAGCCGACGAUCUGUAGCUGGUCUGAGAGGACGACCAGCCACACUGGGACUGAGACACGGCCCAGACUCCGUACGGGAGGCAGCAGGUGGGGUAAUUUUUGGAACAAGUGGGACGAAAGCCUGAUCCAGCAAUGCCGCGUGCAGGAUGGAAGGCCGUUUCGGGGUUAGUAAACUGUCUUUUGUACAGAACGAAACAGUCUCUCCUAAUACGGGGGGCGAAUGACGGUACUGUAAGAAUAAGCACCGGCUAACUACGUG